UUGGUCGUGGGUUGUGGAGGCCCCAGCAGGCCAGGCGCCGUCUCACACUAGGGGCCAGCUCCACUCCCCACAACGGAGACCCCAGGGGCAUUGGGAAGGUGACCCCCAUCCAGACCUUGCAGGGAGCAGGACGGGGCUGUGGAAGGGAUUCAGGAGCUGGGGACAACUGAGGUCUCUCUACCAGACAGAUGCAGCGACCUCCUGGGCCCUGCAGCUCAGCUGCCGGGGCCCUGUCUCAGAGCUCUCAGCACUGGGAAGCCACCAGAUCGCCGGAUGGGGGAUAUGCAACCUACAGAGCCUAAUCCCGAGGUGCUAGGGACCCGCUCAGCACCUACAACUCUCACUGAGCUCCAGCUGGUGCGGCCCACCAACUCGCAUAGGAAUUGCUGCACCAGUGGGGAUCUGGUCCUGGAUCAGGCUCAAGAACUGGCUUGAUCCCUUAGGAAAAGGUCCCUGCGGUACUGCGACCUGUCAGCCACCUUUGGCUGAGAACAGAGACGUCCUCCAUGAAAGAGGAGGCACAGAGGCAGCCCACCGCCCCCCCCCCGGUUCCAGCCACUCAGUCAAGGCAUCUUUCCCCAUCCUUCCAGCCAGCCUCAGGGCGGUAAGCCCCUAGCCAGGACACAGACCUGCAGGGAGCAGCAGAUACCAGAGCUGUGCUAGGCAGAGAUAACUCCAGCAACAGGGAUAGUGGCCUCCCGCUCUGCCUCCAUGCCGACUGCUCCAACACCCCU